ensembl:rRNA 5S_rRNA 5S ribosomal RNA
UCCGGCAGCCAUAUCACCCUGGAGCCCAAGACCGGUUGCCCACUGAAGCUAAGCAGGGCUGAGCCUGGUCAGUACCUGGAUGGGAGACCUCCUGAGAAAACUAGGUUGCUGCUGGAA